rnacentral:rRNA from 1 species
GACGAACGCUGGCGGCGUGCUUAACACAUGCAAGUCGAACGGAAAGGCCCUGCUUUUGUGGGGUGCUCGAGUGGCGAACGGGUGAGUAACACGUGAGUAACCUGCCCUUGACUUUGGGAUAACUUCAGGAAACUGGGGCUAAUACCGGAUAGGAGCUCCUGCUGCAUGGUGGGGGUUGGAAAGUUUCGGCGGUUGGGGAUGGACUCGCGGCUUAUCAGCUUGUUGGUGGGGUAGUGGCUUACCAAGGCUUUGACGGGUAGCCGGCCUGAGAGGGUGACCGGCAACGUGGGGACUGAGAACGGCCGCAGCCUCCAGGGGGAGGCAAAAGUGGGGAAUAUGGCAAAGGGGGGGGGCGCCGGAUGCGACACCGCCGGGUGGGGGAUGACGGCCUUGGGUUUGAAAACCGCUUUCGCCUGGGACGAGGCGGGGGUGACGGUAGUGGGAAAAGAAGCCCCGGCUAACUACGUG